UGGGGAAUAUUGGACAAUGGACGAAAGCCUGAUCCAGCCAUGCCGCGUGUGUGAAGAAGGCCUUUUGGUUGUAAAGCACUUUAAGUGGGGAGGAAAAGCUUAUGGUUAAUACCCAUAAGCCCUGACGUUACCCACAGAAUAAGCACCGGCUAACUCUGUGCCAGCAGCCGCGGUAAUACAGAGGGUGCAAGCGUUAAUCGGAAUUACUGGGCGUAAAGCGCGCGUAGGUGGUUAUUUAAGUCAGAUGUGAAAGCCCCGGGCUUAACCUGGGAACUGCAUCUGAUACUGGAUAACUAGAGUAGGUGAGAGGGGAGUAGAAUUCCAGGUGUAGCGGUGAAAUGCGUAGAGAUCUGGAGGAAUACCGAUGGCGAAGGCAGCUCCCUGGCAUCAUACUGACACUGAGGUGCGAAAGCGUGGGUAGCAAACAGGAUUAGAUACCCUGGUAGUCCACGCCGUAAACGAUGUCUACCAGUCGUUGGGUCUUUUAAAGACUUAGUGACGCAGUUAACGCAAUAAGUAGACCGCCUGGGGAGUACGGCCGCAAGGUUA
rnacentral:rRNA from 1 species